rnacentral:rRNA from 1 species
AGUGAACGCUGGCGGUAGGCCUAACACAUGCAAGUCGAACGGCAGCACAGGAGAGCUUGCUCUCUGGGUGGCGAGUGGCGGACGGGUGAGGAAUACAUCGGAAUCUACUCUGUCGUGGGGGAUAACGUAGGGAAACUUACGCUAAUACCGCAUCCGACCCACGGGUGAAAGCAGGGGAUCUUCGGAUCUUGAGCGAUUGAAUGUGCCGAUGUCGGGUUAGCUAGUUGGCGGGGUAGAGGUCCACCAAGGCGACGAUCCGUAGCUGGUCUGAGAGGAUGAUCAGCCGCACUGGAACUGAGACACGGUACAGACUCCUACGGGAGGCAGCAGUGGGGAAUAUUGGACAAUGGGCGCAAGCCUGAUCCAGCCAUACCGCGUGGGUGAAGAAGGCCUUCGGGUUGUAAAGCCCUUUUGUUGGGAAAGAAAUCCAGCUGGCUAAUACCCGGUUGGGAUGACGGUACCCAAAGAAUAAGCACCGGCUAACUUCGCGCCAGCCGCCGCCGUAA